UGCCAGACUCCUACGGGAGGCAGCAGUGGGGAAUCUUCCGCAAUGGGCGCAAGCCUGACGGAGCAAUGCCGCGUGAACGAAGAAGGUCUUCGGAUUGUAAAGUUCUGUCCUUAUCGAAGAGAGGGUAUAGAGUGAAAAAUGAUAUACUAGGACGGUAGAUGAGGAGGAAGCCCCGGCUAACUACGUGCCAGCAGCCGCGGUAAUACGUAGGGGGCAAGCGUUAUCCGGAUUUACUGGGUGUAAAGGGAGCGUAGACGGCAUGGCAAGUCUGAUGUGAAAACCCGGGGCUCAACCCCGGGACUGCAUUGGAAACUGUCAGGCCAGAGUGUCGGAGAGGCAAGUGGAAUUCCUAGUGUAGCGGUGAAAUGCGUAGAUAUUAGGAGGAACACCAGUGGCGAAGGCGGCUUGCUGGACGAUGACUGACGUUGAGGCUCGAAAGCGUGGGGAGCAAACAGGAUUAGAUACCCCCGUAC
rnacentral:rRNA from 1 species